rnacentral:rRNA from 1 species
GAUGAACGCUGGCGGCGUGCCUAAUACAUGCAAGUCGAGCGAACAGACGAGGAGCUUGCUCCUCUGACGUUAGCGGCGGACGGGUGAGUAACACGUGGAUAACCUACCUAUAAGACUGGGAUAACUUCGGGAAACCGGAGCUAAUACCGGAUAAUAUAUUGAACCGCAUGGUUCAAUAGUGAAAGACGGUUUUGCUGUCACUUAUAGAUGGAUCCGCGCCGCAUUAGCUAGUUGGUAAGGUAACGGCUUACCAAGGCAACGAUGCGUAGCCGACCUGAGAGGGUGAUCGGCCGCACUGGAACUGAGACACGGUCCAGACUCCUACGGGAGGCAGCAGUAGGGAAACUUCCGCAAUGAGCGAAAGCCUGACGGAGCAACGCCGCGUGAGUAAUGAAGGUCUUCGGAUCGUAAAACUCUGUUAUUAGGGAAGAACAAAUGUGUAAGUAACUAUGCACGUCUUGACGGUACCUAAUCAGAAAGCCACGGCUAACAACGGG